GAUGAACGCUGGCGGCGUGCCUAAUACAUGCCAGUCGAGCGAACAGACGAGGAGCUUUCUCCUUUGACGUUAGCGGCGGACGGGUGAGUAACACGUAGGUAACCUACCUAUAAGACUGGGAUAACUUCGGGAAACCGGAGCUAAUACCGGAUAAUAUUUCGAACCGCAUGGUUCGAUAUUGAAAGAUGGCUUUGCUAUCACUUAUAGAUGAACCUGCGCCGUAUUAGCUAGUUGGUAAGGUAACGGCUUACCAAGGCAACGAUACGUAGCCGACCUGAGAGGGUGAUCGGCCACACUGGAACUGAGACACGGUCCAGACUCCUACGGGAGGCAGCAGUAGGGAAUCUUCCGCAAUGGGCGAAAGCCUGACGGAGCAACGCCGCGUGAGUGAUGAAGGUCUUCGGAUCGUAAAACUCUGUUAUUAGGGAAGAAUAAACGUGUAAGUAACUGUGCACGUCUUGACGGUACCUAAUCAGAAAGCAACGGCUAACUACGUG
rnacentral:rRNA from 1 species